GACAGAGGAUGCAAGCGUUGUCCGGAAUUAUUGGGCGUAAAGAGCUCGUAGGCGGUUUGUCGCGUCUGCUGUGAAAACCCGAGGCUCAACCUCGGGCCUGCAGUGGGUACGGGCAGACUAGAGUGCGGUAGGGGAGAUUGGAAUUCCUGGUGUAGCGGUGGAAUGCGCAGAUAUCAGGAGGAACACCGAUGGCGAAGGCAGGUCUCUGGGCCAUUACUGACACUGAGAAGCGAAAGCAUGGGGAGCGAACAGG
rnacentral:rRNA from 1 species